AUUGAACGCAGGCGGCAUGCCUUACACAUGCAAGUCGAACGGUAACAGGUCUUCGGAUGCUGACGAGUGGCGAACGGGUGAGUAAUACAUCGGAACGUGCCCGAUCGUGGGGGAUAACGGAGCGAAAGCUUUGCUAAUACCGCAUACGAUCUACGGAUGAAAGCAGGGGACCGCAAGGCCUUGCGCGGACGGAGCGGCCGAUGGCAGAUUAGGUAGUUGGUGGGAUAAAAGCUUACCAAGCCGACGAUCUGUAGCUGGUCUGAGAGGACGACCAGCCACACUGGGACUGAGACACGGCCCAGACUCCUACGGGAGGCAGCAGUGGGGAAUUUUGGACAAUGGGCGCAAGCCUGAUCCAGCCAUGCCGCGUGCAGGAUGAAGGCCUUCGGGUUGUAAACUGCUUUUGUACGGAACGAAAAGACUCUUUCUAAUAAAGAGGGUCCAUGACGGUACCGUAAGAAUAAGCACCGGCUAACUACGUGCCAGCCGCCGCAGUAAGAC
rnacentral:rRNA from 1 species